rnacentral:rRNA from 1 species
GAUGAACGCUGGCGGCGUGCCUAAUACAUGCAAGUCGAGCGAACAGACGAGGAGCUUGCUCCUCUGACGUUAGCGGCGGACGGGUGGGUAACACGUGGAUAACCUACCUAUAAGACUGGGAUAACUUCGGGAAACCGGAGCUAAUACCGGAUAAUAUAUUGAACCGCAUGGUUCAAUAGUGAAAGACGGUUUUGCUGUCACUUAUAGAUGGAUCCGCGCCGCAUUAGCUAGUUGGUAAGGUAACGGCUUACCAAGGCAACGAUGCGUAGCCGACCUGAGAGGGUGAUCGGCCACACUGGAACUGAGACACGGUCCAGACUCCUACGGGAGGCAGCAGUAGGGAAUCUUCCGCAAUGGGUGAAAGCCUGACGGAGCAACGCCGCGUGAGUGAUGAAGGUCUUCGGAUCGUAAAACUCUGUUAUUAGGGAAGAACAAAUGUGUAAGUAACUAUGCACGUCUUGACGGUACCUAAUCAGAAAGCCACGGCUAACUACGUG